UCUCCUGCUCUGAGCCCAGCGCUCCGGCUGAGUCCAGGAGGCUGCCUCCAUUCCGACUCUGAACCUGCCGCCCGCCGCCAGAGGUCUAAAGGAGGCGGUCCAGUUCAAUGUUUCCUCCACCUGGAAUGCUCCCAGACGUGGGAGGAGCCCUUACCGGUUAGCAGCCCCCACCCGGUUCGGCGCGAGGGUCUCAGUUCCGUGCAUUUAAAGCGCAGCUGAGGAAUGCAGGAGCUAAACUCCCCCCAAAGAAGCAGCGCCUCCUCGCCGCGCACCCACUGGCGCCCGAAAGCACCAGAGUCCCCUCCCCCACCCCUCCUUUCCCAAACCUUCAACUUCCAAGCGUCCCUGAUUCAUUUGGAGUAGGAGUAGCGCUUUGGGGCAAUGGGGUAAUUUGGCCCACCGGGGGUCCUUUUGACUCCGACGUAGUUCCGCCGGUCCCCGGUCUCCCAGCCUUCCCACACCGCCGCCUCAAAUUCCGAGAGCUGGCUCGGAGAAACGGCGAGGAAUUCCCCAGGGACUGCCCGGCCAGCUUGCCCGCCGCUCCCCGCGCGGUCCCAGAUGCACGGAGAACGCGCGGAGCUCCUACAUCUGCGCAGAGACCCGGGGUGGGGUAGCCGCGGGGUGGGCGCUGGCCACAAGGAGUCCGGGGUGCGUGGCCGUUGCCGAGAAAAGCUUUCGGAAGAGGCAAGAGUAUUCCAGCACAGGGACGUCGACAUGAAGAGAAAGGUGGACGCAAACUCGGUCAUUCAAAGUCUCUCCCACCCCUCCGCCUCCACUACCCAGCAGGGGGAAAAAAAGAGAAGAAGAAAGAAAGAAAGAAACGGGAAGAAAGUAGUUGCGCCAGGCUCUCUCGCGGGGCCGCGCGCGGAGCUGCUCGAUUUUCCUCUCUAGGCAGAAGGGCCUUUCUUGCCCCUUCCCCCUGGCGGCUUGGGUCUAAUGUGCAAACUCCUCCUCCAAACCUUAGACCCUUCCAGCUCUAGAUCUCUCCCCACCUCCUAUCAAGCCCACCCGUCACUCCUUCCCCCACCCCACAACGCGAACACGUCCAAGGACAAUCACUCCCCAGCGAACUCGCUGCUCUCAGGGACCAGUACCCAGGACGCUGUGCGGGAGGUCAAGGACAGCGGAGUCAAGAGCCGGCGUCAGGUUAAAAAAAUCCAAAUUCCUACGACUUGUUUGAGAAUUUGGUCAAACACCGAGAAGCACGGGCACUGCGCCUACCAGAUCAGGCCGAACCCGACGCAGAGCAAGGCUGCGGGGUCCGAGCGGAGUAGCCUCAGAGUGAUGUCUGUGGGUGGAGACUCCCAACUGGUUACAAACCACAUCCAGAAUUCAAGGCUGGGGGAACCUGGAAAAGGUCACUUCAUCCAUCCUCUUGACCUUGAGACCAGUCCUCACUCUCCACUGGCAAGUUAGGGUAAGCAGGGAGUCCAUGGUUCAGAUGAGAAUGGAAUCAUAAUUGGCAGCAGAUUCGAAGUAUGAAUCACUGGUCCACACUCCAUAUCUCAAAUUGGAAAACUGGCGACAAUGUCGAAUCAAUGAAUGAAUGACUUAUGUUCUUUCAGAUGGGAAAGUGCCUGAGAUUCCUCUGAUCAAAUCCCCCAUUUUACAGAGGAAGUUAUUUAGAGGCUCAUCAGUGAGAGUGUGGAAAUCAAACUCUUGAUUCCCAGGAUGCUGUUCUUAGUCUCCUCUCUAUACAACUCUCAGGAAAUAAACAUAUCUCAUGCUUUUCUUCUGGAAAUGUUUUCCAUUUUCCUCUAAUUCGUUCCUCACCUUUUCUUCUUUCCUUUAUUUCAUAACUUGCUUCAACUUAGUUUAAUAUUUCAUUUCCUUUAUUUUGUUACCAUUGUGCACCACUGACAAAACGAGAGAAAAUUAACUUCACAUGCAGAAGGAAAGGUUGCAGUAGGAACAGGAAAAGACUUUUAAUCACAGGAGAGGUCAAAGGACAACUUUAAUAGUGGAAUAGAUACUUUCCCAUUGGUUAGUCCUUUCUGAAGAGAGGACUAAUUAGAUGAAUUCUAUUUUUCAAUAAUGUUAUAGAUAACCUUUUCAGACUUUUCAGAGUGAAUCUUUUUUUCCCAAAAUUAUUCUUCUUGCUUUUUAAAGUCUUCUUUCCUUUAUAUUAAAGAUGGCAAAGGAUCUA